GCCGGGUGUGGUGGUGGGCACCUGUAAUCCCAGCUACCCAGGAGGCUGAGGCAGGAGAAUUGCUGGAACCCAGGGGGGCAGAGGCUGCAGUGAGCUGAGAUUGUGCCACUGCACUCCAGCCUGGGUGACAAAGCAAGACUCUGUCUCAA
ensembl:misc_RNA Metazoa_SRP Metazoan signal recognition particle RNA